UAUUUUAUUUUUCUUUCUCCUCGUGCACAUAAUGCAAAUUGUUUUCUUUUUUUGCUUUUGAGUUGAACGUGACAUUUGAACAGUGACGUGUCAUUAGUUAUGUAUGUGUUUUUAUUUCUUUACUAUUGUCACUGCAUAACGUACAUUUUGGGUUUUGGGAAAUUGUGACUCAUUAAAGAUGGAUGAGCUGAACUUAUCUGCUUUAGGCAGGGGUCAGACAUUUAUGUUUAGCCCAUCACUCCAGAAAGGAGGUUUUCGGGGGAGGCCCCUGACAUCCACUCCUCAACAGGCCAAAGUGAAUGGUGCUGAGGGUGGUGACGUUUCUUCUAGUGCUGAUCAGUUAGCUGGUCCAUCUGCAUUUUCUGGGGGUAGGGAUGUGGACCAUGUCCCUGUGCAUGUAUUAACUGACUUAGUUAAGCAGAUAGGGACUAGUAUUGGGGAGAACAUUGCCUCUUGUCUUAGGUCCGCCCCAACUGGUGAUGUUACUUUGGCCCCUUCGACCAUUGCUGAUCUCUCUAAGAUGAGCCUGACUGUUAGCCAGCAUAGUGGUGAACCGCAUCCCUUCAGGGGGGACAAGACUGACAAACUUUCGGUUUCUGAGUGGGAAGACUGUGUUAAAGUGUAUCUGACUAAGAGGGAUGUUCAGUUAUGUGAUCAGGCGGAAGAAGUGAUGGGCAGGCUACAGGGUAGAGCACGUGAUGUUGUGAGAGUGGGGGUGCGUAGCAAGCCUAGUUUGGUCUUACGGUUAGGUCCUCAGCCCAUUUUCGACAUACUCAAGCAACACUUUAGUGAGUCUGUGACUUCUUUCAUGCCUCUUGCUGACUUCUAUGACACAAAGCCCUUAGAGAAUGAAAGUGCUGUUGACUAUUGGAUCCGGCUUAACAAGGCACUCGACACAGCUACGGAUGGGCUGAAAAGGCAAGGCAAAACUAUUGAUGACUCCUCUAGGGAAGUGACUGUCAUGUUCAUCACUCACUGUCCCGAUCGAGAACUGUCUCUUGUCUUCAGCUGUAGGCCACUGG
rnacentral:lncRNA from 1 species